UAGUCAGUAUUAUUAUCCAAUUAACUCGUGCCGCUACUUGUCAUUUCGACAUAUCUAGAACAAAAUGUAAGACACAAAGAGUUAAAGUAGGUUUUCCACUCGGACUAGUUCCUUGAGUGAUUACCUGAAUUGGAAAUAUCUAUGGCAACAACUUCCAAUUAACCCACCCAAUAAUCGGAUUACUCAAUUCGCUAAGAGAAGUGUGUUUUCAUUAAUGGAAAGCCGAAAAACAGGUAUCCAUUAGACUUGUCAAACUUCUGCCUAAAUGGUUAUUCUCAGAAGCUAAACACAAAGGAAACCUAAAGUUGAAAUCCAAAAUCCGUGACAAAAAAAAAAAGAACAAGCUGCAAGAAAAGAAAAAGAAAAUUACAUCUUGUUGACAAUCCUUUGACGAGAAUCAGGUAGAAGUUGAGUCCGCCAAUCCAGUGUCCAUAGCUCCGGCUGCAGCUCCAACUCGGGCGGUCCCUUCACUCCCAAAAUAUGCAUUUCAUCUCAAAUGCAUCUUCGUUAGACAGCUAAAUCUGACACUUCUUUAGGCAGAUAAAAGUUUUUCUUCUCCUCAGAGCAUAAAAAUGAUCAAGGUAGGUACAGGCAACUGAGAAUUUUCAGCGGUGAGAAAGGAACAUUGACGAGAGAGGGGAGACUGAACACUUCCCUCUACACUUUGUAGCCAUAGAGAGCGGGAUUUUCAACAUCAUAACUAAGUAAUCAUGUCAGACAAAUGAUUGGUUAAUGUGAAGGCGCCCAUAUCUCCGGCUGCAGCUCCAGCUGGGGAGGUACCUUCACUCCCCAAAAUAUGCAGUUCAUUUCAAAUCUUCUUCAUUAGACAACUAAAUCUGACACUUCUUUAAGCAGAUAAAAGUUUUUCUUCCCCUCAGAACAUAAAACAAUCAGAAGGAGAAAAAUUUAGAUGAUGUUCAAAGGUGGUGUCAAUGAUGAGACUUGAGAGGCAGAGGGCGGGGCUUGUAAUGUCAAGGUAGGUAUGGAAGUCGGACGACAACUGAGAAUUUUCAGUGGUGAGAAAGGAACAUUGCGAGAGAGGGGAGAGUGAACACUUUCCUGUACACUUUGUAGCCACAGAGAGCAAGCUUUUCCAACAUCAUAACUAAUUCAUUAGGUUUAUACAAAGCGUCCUGUCACACAAAUGAUUUGUCAAUGUGAAAUACAGCACAUGAACUUUCAUUGCUCACCUGG
rnacentral:lncRNA from 1 species